rnacentral:rRNA from 1 species
UACGUAGGGCGCGAGCGUUGUCCGGAAUCAUUGGGCGUAAAGAGCUCGUAGGCGGCCGGUUGCGUCUGCUGUGAAAGCCCCCGGCUCAGCUGGGGAGGGUCAUUCGAUACUGAUCGACUCGAAGGCAGGAGAGGGUAGUGGAAUUCCCGGUGUAGUGGUGAAAUGCGUAGAUAUCGGGAGGAACACCAGUGGCGAAGGCGACUACCUGGCCUGUUCUUGACGCUGAGGCGCGAAAGCUAGGGGAGCAAACGGG